rnacentral:lncRNA from 1 species
AUGAGUUUAAAUUUCUUUUACACUUCACAUAGAAAUAAACCUAGGCUUACAUAGAAAGAAACCUAGGCUUUUGGCCAGGUUUGAAAGGGGUCCAUGGAUUGGCUUCAUUCACAGCUAAUGCUGACCCUACUUGCCCUAGAUCACUUAUAGCAGCACUCAACUAGACAAAGUGCCACAGCACACAGUUCCUUAAACCUAUACUCUUCUCACAACAUAAAUGCUUUCAGUCCAAAAUAAAAACCACCAAUCACUAUCCUAAAACAUGGCACACUCUGCUGGUCCUUUAAACUUUACAGAGGCUGGAGAAGGCAGCUCAUGUCUGAGUAAGUCUGCAUUUGGAAAACAACAUGCACACAUGCGUUAAUGCAAUGUUUAUGGAGCAUGCUCUGUGUGCUCAGAAGCACGCUACGGAGCUGGGAAGAUGACAUGAAUUUAUCCUUAUAAUACCCUGGGAGGUGGGUACUAACUGUCCCAUAAUUCCCUGGAUUUAUAUGAAAAGCCCAGCAUUUACAUUUCUUCUUGUUCUCACUGAUUUUUUUUAAUUUUUUUAUUUUUUUUUAAUGCAUGGAACAGGCCAGGCACGGUGGCUCAUGCCUAUAAUUCCAGCACUUUGGAGGGCCAAGGCAGGCGGAUCAUCUGAGGUCAGGAGUUCACGCAAAUCAGGGGGCCCGUGAAAGGCAACUGAGCAGGGAUCCAUGGGAAAGACACCCUCAGAGGCACAAGAUUCUCUCGUUACCUUUCAGUUUGCUGAUACUUCAGUUAAAGUCUCCUGGGAAACGUCUGCAUUAGGUUCUUCCUCUGUAGUUCUUCUUACCUUGCCUGUAAAACAAAACCUAUCUAGUGUCUGCAUAGGUUUCCACUUCUUGUCCCCACCUGAGGAAUGGAAAGCAACGGCACAGUCCUUGCUCAUGUUUUGGAGUGAAAGGAGCUUGAAGGUCAUGUGAGCUUUGCCAAGGCUUCUCCUGGCCUCAUGUCAGAUACAGCUCCUAACUCCCAAGCAGCCUACCAUAGUGUCCUCCUUUUUUUGCGUGUGUGAUGGGGUUUCGCACUUGUUGCCCAGGCUGGAGUGCAAUGGUACAAUCUCGGCUCACUGCAACCUCCGCCUCCCAGGUUCAAGUGAUUCUUCUGCCUCAGCCUCUCAAGUAACUGGGAUUACAGGCAUGCGCCACUAAGGGAGGAGACCACUCCUCAUAUUGUCUUAUGCCCAAUUUCUGCUUCCAAAGAAAGAAGAAGUAAAAACUAAAAGGCAGAAAUGAAAUCCACAGGCAGACAGCCCAGCGCCACACCAUGGGCCUGGUAGUUAAAGAUCGAGCCCUGACCUAAUCGGUUAUGUUAUCUACAGAUUACAGACAUUGUAUAGAAAAGCACUUUGAAAAUCCCUGUCCUGUUCUGUUCCAUUCUAAUUACUGGUGCAUGCAGCCUUCAGUCACUUACUCCCUGCUUGCUCAAUCGAUCACGACCCUCUCAUGCAAACCCCCUUAGAGUUGUAAGCCCUUAAGAGGGAUAGGAAUUGCUCACUCAGGGAGCUCAGUUUUUGAGACGUGAGUCUUGCCAAUGCUCCCGGCCGAAUAAAGCCCUUCCUUCUUUAACUCGGUGUCUGAGGGGUUUUGUCUACGGCUCGUCCUGCUACAUUUCUUGGUUCCCUGACUGGGAAGCGAGGUGAUUAACGGACAGUUGAGGCAGCCUGUUAGGCGGCUUAGGCCUGCCCUGUGGAGCAUCCCUGCGGGGGACUCCGGCCAGCUUGAGCGAUGCGGAUCCUGAGAGCGCUCCCGGGUAAGCAAAUUCCCUGGUGGAACGCCUCACCAGAGCAGCGUGUGGCAGCCCCCGCGGAGGAUCAAUGCAGUGACUGAACACCGGGAAGGAACUGGCACUUGGAGUCUGGACAUCUGAAACUUGGUAAGACUAGUCUUUGGAACUUGCCCACUCCAUUUGAGUGGAAGUGUGGCCUGAUCACCUAUGGCGUGCCUGUACCGGCACUUUGGUUUUUGUUUUUGACUUGACUUGGAUUGCUUGAUACUUUGGUUUUGGUUUUGACCUUGCUUGGAUUUCUAGAUACCCCGAUUUUGGUAUUGAUUCUGGUUUGGUGUAAACUGUAAAAGUAUGUGUGUGCCCUUUUUACCCGUUAUUUGUUUUGUGGUGUGCGUGUGGUGCGAGCGUGGUGUUUUGUCUUGAAGAAGCAUGGGUCAGGCACAAAGUAAGCCUGCCCCAGUAGGAGCUAUGUUGAAAAUUUUCAAGAAAGGAUUUAAGGGAGAUUACAGUGUUACUGUGAUACCAGGAAAACUUAGAACUUUGUGUGAAAUAGACUGGCCAGCAUUAGAGGUGGGUUGGCCAUCAGAAGGAAGAUUGGACAGGUCCCUUGUUUCAAAGGUACGGCACAAGGUAACCUGUAAGCCAGGGCACCCAGACCAGUUCCUGUACAUGGACACUUGGUUAUAGCUGGUUUUAGACCCCCACCCCACAAUGGUUGAGAGAACAGCAGCAUAAGCAAGCUUGCAGAGGCAAGGAAAGACCAGC